UAACAUUGUAUGACAACGAAGGAGAGCACGCAUGUGCACAGCCAUGCCAUCUUGCGCAUGAUUAUCAACAAGCGUGCUCUCUCUCGUUGUCAUCCAAAUAUUGA
rnacentral:pre_miRNA from 1 species